GACGAACGCUGGCGGCGUGCUUAACACAUGCAAGUCGAACGCGCCUGUCCUCUGGGUUUCUGGGGGGUGGGUGAGUGGCGAACGGGUGAGUAACACGUGAGUAACCUGCCCCCUUCUUCGGGAUAACGGUCUGAAAGGGCUGCUAAUACCGGGUAUUCACUGGUCUCCGCAUGGGGUCUGGUGGAAAGGUUUUUUUCUGGUGGGGGAUGGGCUCGCGGCCUAUCAGCUUGUUGGUGGGGUGAUGGCCCACCAAGGCUUUGACGGGUAGCCGGCCUGAGAGGGUGACCGGUCACAUUGGGACUGAGAUACGGCCCAGACUCCUACGGGAGGCAGCAGUGGGGAAGAUUGCACAAUGGGCGCAAGCCUGAUGCAGCGACGCCGCGUGAGGGAUGGAGGCCUUCGGGUUGUGAACCUCUUUCGCCCGUGGUCAAGCCGCGACGUGGGUCGUGGUGAGGGUAGUGGGUAAAGAAGCGCCGGCUAACUACGU
rnacentral:rRNA from 1 species